rnacentral:rRNA from 1 species
AUUGAACGCUGGCGGAAUGCUUUACACAUGCAAGUCGAACGGCAGCACGGACUUCGGUCUGGUGGCGAGUGGCGAACGGGUGAGUAAUGUAUCGGAACGCGCCCAGUCGUGGGGGAUAACGUAGUGAAACUUACGCUAAUACCGCAUACGAUCUAUGGAUGAAAGCGGGGGAUCGCAAGACCUCGCACGAUUGGAGCGGCCGAUAUCAGAUUAGGUAGUUGGUGGGGUAAAGGCCCACCAAGCCAACGAUCUGUAGCAGGUCUGACAGGACGCCCAGCCACACUGGAACUGAGACACGGUCCAGAUUCCUGCGGGAGGCAGCAGUGGGGAAGUUUGGACAAUGGGCGAAAGCCUGAUCCAGCCAUUCCGCGUGCAGGAUGAAGGCCCUCGGGUUGUAAACUGCUUUUGUACAGAACGAAAAGGUUUCUACUAAUACUAGGAGCUCAUGACGGUACUGUAAGAAUAAGCACCGGCUAACUACGUGCCAGCCGCCGCAGUAA